rnacentral:rRNA from 1 species
AAUUCGAUUAGUUUGAUCCUGGCUCAGAACGAACGCUGGCGGCGCGCCUAAUACAUGCAAGUCGAGCGAGAAGACGUAGCAAUACGUUUGUAAAGCGGCGAACGGGUGAGGAAUACAUGGGUAACCUACCCUAGAGUGGGGAAUAACUAGCCGAAAGGUUAGCUAAUACCGCGUACGCUCCUUGGACUUCGGUACAGGGAGGAAAGCGAUACCGUGGGUAUCGCGCUCUUGGAUGGGCUCAUGUCCUAUCAGCUUGUUGGUGAGGUAACGGCUCACCAAGGCUUCGACGGGUAGCUGGUCUGAGAGGACGAUCAGCCACACUGGCACUGCGACACGGGCCAGACUCCUACGGGAGGCAGCAGUAAGGAAUAUUGCGCAACGGGCGAAAGCCUGACGCAGCGACGCCGCGUGGGGGAUGAAGGUUUUCGGAUUGUAAACCCCUUUCGGGAGGGAAGAUGGAACGAGCAAUCGUUCGGACGGUACCUCCAGAAGCAGCCACGGCUAACUUCGUGCCAGCAGCCGCGGUAAUACGAAGGUGGCAAGCGUUGUUCGGAUUUACUGGGCGUACAGGGAGCGUAGGCGGUUCGGUAAGCCCUCUGUGAAAUCUCCAGGCUUAACCUGGAACAGUCGGAGGGGACUGCUGGGCUAGAGGACGGGAGAGGAGCGCGGAAUUCCCGGUGUAGCGGUGAAAUGCGUAGAGAUCGGGAGGAAGGCCGGUAGCGAAGGCGGCGCUCUGGAACGUUUCUGACGCUGAGGCUCGAAAGCGUGGGGAGCAAACAGGAUUAGAUACCC